GUUAACGCUGGCGGCGUGCCUAACACAUGCAAGUCGAGCGAAGUGUACCAGAGUAUCGGGCACUUAGCGGCAGACGGGUGAGUAACACGUAAACAAUCUGCCCUCGAAUGGGAGACAACCAAGCGAAAGUUUGGCUAAUACCCCAUACAAUCUUCUCAGAGCAUUUUGAGGGGAUGAAAGGCCCGCAAGGGUCGUUCGAGGAGGAGUUUGCGGCCUAUCAGCUAGUUGGCGGUGUAACGGACCACCAAGGCUAUGACGGGUAGCCGAUCUAAAAGGAUGACCGGCCACAAGGGCACUGAGACACGGGCCCUACUCCUACGGGAGGCAGCAGUGGGGAAUUUUGGACAAUGGACGAAAGUCUGAUCCAGCGACGCCGCGUGAAGGACGAAGGUUUUCGGAUCGUAAACUUCUUUUGCAGGGGACGAACACGGGCAACCGUUUGACAGUACUCUGCGAAUAAGCCACGGCUAACUACGU
rnacentral:rRNA from 1 species